GACGUAGGGCGCGAGCGUUGUCCGGAUUUAUUGGGCGUAAAGAGCUCGUAGGCGGUUUGUCGCGUCUGCUGUGAAAACCCGAGGCUCAACCUCGGGCCUGCAGUGGGUACGGGCAGACUAGAGUCCGGCAGGGGAGACUGGAAUUCCUGGUGUAGCGGUGAAAUGCGCAGAUAUCAGGAGGAACACCGGUGGGCGGAAGGCGGGUCUCUGGGCCGGAAC
rnacentral:rRNA from 1 species